rnacentral:misc_RNA from 1 species
UGGUUCUGGCAUCGAUGAAGAACGCAGCGAAAUGCGAUAAGUAAUGUGAAUUGCAGAAUUCAGUGAAUCAUCGAAUUUUUGAACGCAUAUUGCACCUUAGAGUAUUCUUUAAGGUAUACCUGUUCGAGCGUCGUUUAGAACAAUAAAGCUUUUGCUUUGUGAUGAAUUUUGAGUAAACAAUGAUUUUGAGAAUUUCUUGGUCACACCAUGAAUCUCUUCAGAAGUCAUAUUCAAUCUUCCAAACUUAGUGGCGUUUUGUUUACAAAUGUUUGCCAACUAUACAGUGAAAAUGUAUAACCGGUUUGAAUAUUGACAAAUAUAAACUUGCCUAUUAAACCCAAAAUAUUGUGGUCUCCGGAUUGCAAUAUUUUAUCUCAAUUGUUCGACCUCGAAUCAAGUAAGACUACCCGCUGA